UACGGAAGGGGCUAGCGUUGUUCGGAAUUACUGGGCGUAAAGCGUGCGCAGGCGGUUCGUUGUGUCGGCGGUGAAAGCCCCGGGCUUAACCUGGGAAUGGCCGUUGAAACUGGCGAACUGGAGUGCGGCAGAGGGGGUGGAAUUCCGCGUGUAGCAGUGAAAUGCGUAGAGAUGCGGAGGAACACCGAUGGCGAAGGCAAUCCCCUGGACCUGUACUGACGCUCAUGCACGAAAGGCGUGGGGAGCAAACAGG
rnacentral:rRNA from 1 species